UUCUUAUAGAAAUUUUUAUAAGUAAAAUCUGCUCAAUGUAAAAUUAAUAGCCGCAGAAUUUUUACUGUGCUAAGGUAGCAUAAUCAUUAGCCCUUUAAUUUAGGGCCAGAAUGAAAGAUUAUACAUUUUAAUUACUUUUUUAAUUUUAUUAUUAUAAUUUAUACUAAACAUAAAAUAUGUUUAUCCCUAAAAUAGACGACAAGACCCUAUUGAACUUAACUUUAGUUUUGCUGGGGCAGCAAAUUAAUCAUUAUUUUAAUUAAAUUUAUACAAAAUUAACCCAAUAUAAUUGAAAUUAUCAAGUUACCAUAGGGAUAACAGCGUAAUACCUUUAUAAAGCUCCUAUUUAAAAAGAAGUUUGCGACCUCGAUGUUGAAUUAUUUUUCUUAUUAACGCAAUAGUUAUAAAAGAAGGUCUGUUCGACCCUUAAAAUUAUACA
rnacentral:rRNA from 2 species